ACCCACAGUUGAACAUCUCCCACACAGUGCAGAGGCCACCAUUGAUAUACCUUCCCAGAAAAUUCCAUACCUCAAGAUUGCCUACGACGGCCUCCAAGGUCCUCUUCUCCAGUUUUUAAAAACUUCUACUCCGGAUUGGAUCAUUUACGACUUUGCUCCUUACUGGUUACCUUCCAUUGCGGCCAAUCUUAGGAUCUCGCGUGCCUUCUUCAAUAUUUUAGCUGCAUGGAGUGUAUCUUUCUUUGGAUCAUCAUCUUCUGCCAUGAUUAAUGGUGAGGAUCCGCGCACUCAACCAGAAGAUUUCACUGUAGUUCCUAAUUGGAUUCCUUUUCCUUCGAAGGUCGCAUAUCAGCUCCAUGAGGCAAAGCGAGCUUAUCCUGUCGGGGUAAACGAUUCAGGUGUCUCCGAUGUGUUUCGUUUAGGAUCAGUCAUUGCAGGUUGUGAUGUAAUAGCUGUGCGGAGCUGCAAUGAAUUAGAGGCGGACUUUUUGAGGCUUCUUGGAGAGCUUCACCGCAAGCCUGCGCUUCCAAUAGGUUUACUACCACCUGCAGAUUUUGAUGCCAGAUGUAACGAAGAUGAAACGUGGCUCACAAUCAGAGAGUGGCUAUACAAGCAAAACAAAGGUUCUGUGGUUUACAUAGCA
rnacentral:misc_RNA from 1 species